AUCACUUCUCAGCCUUUUAGAUAAGAUCAAGUACAGUAUCUGUUCUUAUUAGUUCAAUAUCUUAUACUUUCUCUGUAUAAACACAAUGUAUUAAAUAGACUUUUGGAAAUAAGAGAUGGGAUAGGAGCUUGCUCUGUUUACUCCAUGCAUCAACCUGGUCUUGUAGUACUUUCAGGAAGAAAAGAAA
ensembl:snRNA U2 U2 spliceosomal RNA